rnacentral:rRNA from 1 species
GACGGAGGGUGCUAGCGUUGUUCGGAAUCACUGGGCGUAAAGGGCGCGUAGGCGGCUGUGGCAGUCGGGUGUGAAAGCCCGGAGCUCAACUCCGGAACGGCACUCGAGACGCCACGGCUGGAGGCCGGAAGAGGAGGGUGGAAUACCCAGUGUAGAGGUGAAAUUCGUAGAUAUUGGGUGGAACACCAGUGGCGAAAGCGGCUCUCUGGUCCGGACCUGACGCUGAGGCGCGAAAGCGUGGGGAGCAAACAGG